ACCACAUAGAUAGUGCAGUCAAACACUGCGCGAUUACUGAACCGUAUAUGCCUAAAAGACUGGAUGGAAAGGCUAAACAUUUGACCAUGGAGUCUCUCCCUUCUUCUGUGUGUCCACUUCUUCUCUGUUCUUGGUAAUGAACAGCCAUGGCCACACCUUUGCUUGUGCACUGGUGUGCUGAGUGCUGAGUCACUCACCGGCACCCAGGAGGGCUUGUCGGGUUGGAGCUUGUCCUUCCCUGGC